GACGAACGCUGGCGGCGUGCUUAACACAUGCAAGUCGAACGGAAAGGCCCUGCUUUUGUGGGGUGCUCGAGUGGCGAACGGGUGAGUAACACGUGAGUAACCUGCCCUUGACUUUGGGAUAACUUCAGGAAACUGGGGCUAAUACCGGAUAGGAGCUCCUGCUGCAUGGUGGGGGUUGGAAAGUUUCGGCGGUUGGGGAUGGACUCGCGGCUUAUCAGCUUGUUGGUGGGGUAGUGGCUUACCAAGGCUUUGACGGGUAGCCGGCCUGAGAGGGUGACCGGCCACAUUGGGACUGAGAUACGGACCAGACUCCUACGGGAGGCAGCAGUGGGGAAUAUUGCACAAUGGGAGGAAGCCUGAUGAAGAGACGCCGCGUGCGGGAUGACGGCCUUCGGGUUGUAAACAGCUUUCGCCUGUGACGAAGCGUGAGUGACGGUAAUGGGUAAAGAAGCACCGGCUAACUACGUG
rnacentral:rRNA from 1 species